GAACACCGACAAGUUGGACGCAUAUUGCACAUCGUACAACAGUACGAUGUACACAUUUUUGAGUGCC
rnacentral:rRNA from 1 species